rnacentral:rRNA from 1 species
UACGAAGGGGGCUAGCGUUGCUCGGAAUCACUGAGCGUAAAGCGCACGUAGGCGGAUUGCUAAGUCAGGGGUGAAAUCCUGGAGCUCAACUCCAGAACUGCCUUUGAUACUGGCGAUCUCGAGUCCGGGAGAGGUGAGUGGAACUGCGAGUGUAGAGGUGAAAUUCGUAGAUAUUCGCAAGAACACCAGUGGCGAAGGCGGCUCACUGGCCCGGUACUGACGCUGAGGUGCGAAAGCGUGGGGAGCAAACAGG